rnacentral:rRNA from 1 species
GUGCUAAGUGUUGGAGGGUUUCCGCCCUUCAGUGCUGCAGCUAACGCAUUAAGCACUCCGCCUGGGGAGUACGACCGCAAGGUUGAAACUCAAAGGAAUUGACGGGGGCCCGCACAAGCGGUGGAGCAUGUGGUUUAAUUCGAAGCAACGCGAAGAACCUUACCAGGUCUUGACAUCCUUUGACCACUCUAGAGAUAGAGCUUCCCCUUCGGGGGCAAAGUGACAGGUGGUGCAUGGUUGUCGUCAGCUCGUGUCGUGAGAUGUUGGGUUAAGUCCCGCAACGAGCGCAACCCUUAUUGUUAGUUGCCAUCAUUCAGUUGGGCACUCUAGCAAGACUGCCGGUGACAAACCGGAGGAAGGUGGGGAUGACGUCAAAUCAUCAUGCCCCUUAUGACCUGGGCUACACACGUGCUACAAUGGGAAGUACAACGAGUUGCGAAGUCGCGAGGCUAAGCUAAUCUCUUAAAGCUUCUCUCAGUUCGGAUUGCAGGCUGCAACUCGCCUGCAUGAAGCCGGAAUCGCUAGUAAUCGCGGAUCAGCACGCCGCGGUGAAUACGUUCCCGGGCCUUGUACACACCGCCCGUCACACCACGAGAGUUUGUAACACCCGAAGUCGGUGAGGUAACCUUUUUGGAGCCAGCCGCCUAAGGUGGGAUAGAUGAUUGGGGUGAAGUCGUAACAAGGUAGCCGUAUCGGAAGGUGCGGCUGGAUCACCUCCUUUCUAAGGAA